CAUGGGCCAUAACUCCUGCACGACUGAAUGAAUCCAGACGCGAAACCCCAGAUGCACAACUGAACAUGCUUACCAACAUUUCUAUAAACUUGGUGACUCUAGGUCAAAUACUUCUGGAGCUACGCGCGACACAACAUUAAAAUGACCAAUUUUUAAUUAAGUCAGGGGCCAUAACUCCUACACGACUGAAUAAAUCAGGACCCAAAACCCUGUAAAGUUUUGUGACUUUAUGUCAAAUACUUUUGGAGCUAGGCAUGACACAACACUAAAAUGACCAAUUUUUACAACGUCAGGGGCCAUAACUCCUACACAACUGAAUGAAUCCGAACGCGAAACCCCAGGUGCACAACUACACAUGCUGACCAACAUUCCUGUAAAGUUUUGUGACUCUAUGUCAAAUACUUUUGGAGCUAGGCGCGACAACAUUCUUAGAUGGAUGGACAAGGGCAAAUCUAUAUGCCCCGCGCUAAAACUGGGGGCAUAAAAAUGAACCCUGAGAAGGUGGGUAUAUACAUGUAUAAUUGCAAAUUUAGGGAAUGUUUUCUAACUUUUUAAUAUUUCAGGGAUUCUAAAUACUUAAUAUUUCAGAGAAAUGUGGAUGAGUAGGGAUGAUGGCUUGCAUGAUUACUUUGAUGUUACAUGAGAGAAUGGAUUGGACAAACAGAUGACAUGCUGGUCAAAAUGAGGUUGACAGAAAGAACCAUCAGAUGGGAAAUGAAGACGAAGAGAGAUGAUGGUUCACAUGAUUCAUUUGAUGAUAAAGAAGAGAACAGAAUGGACAAACAGAUGACAUGGAGGUCAGAAUGAGGCUGACAGAUGAAAAGCAUUAAACAGUGAGAUGGUCGGUAUAUAAUAUUGCUAAUUAAGGGAGUGUUUUCUAAAUUUUCAAUAUUUCAGGAAAAUGUGGACGAGGGGGAUUAACAAUGCAGGAGAAAAUGGAAUGGACUAACAGAUGACAUGCUGGUCAGACUGAAGUUGACAGAUGAAAAGCAAAAAAAGAACCAUGAGAUGGUAUGUGUACAUAAUUGCAAAUUUAUGGAGUGUUUUCUAACUUCCUAAUAUUUCAGGGAUUUUAAAUUCUUGAUAUUUCAGAGAAAUGUGGAUGAGUAGGGAUGAUGAUUUGCAUGAUUCCUGCGACGUUACAGGAGAGAAUUGAAUGGACAAACAGAUGACAUGGAGGUCAGAAUGAGGCUGACAGAUGAAAAGCGUAAACAAGAACAAAGAGAUGGUUGGUAUAUGAAGUUGCAAAUUAAGGGAGAGAAUGGAAUGGACAGAUGACAUGCUGGUCAGGGACCAUAACUCCUACAAUACUGAAUGAAUCCAGACGCAAAACCCCAGGUGCACAACUGCACAUGCUGACCAACUUUCCUGUAAACUUUGACUAGGUCAAAUACUUUUGGAGCUAUGCCUGACAACAUUAAAAUGACCAAUUUCUAACUAAGUCAGGGGCCAUAACUCCUACACAACUGAAUAAAUCCGGACGCGAAACCCCAGGUACACAACUACACAUGCUGACCAACAUUCCUGUAAAGUUUUGUGACUUUAUGUCAAAUACUUUUGGAGCUAGGCACGACACAACAUUAAAAUGACCAAUUUUUACAUAGUCAGGGGCCAUAACUCCUACACAACUAGAACAAAGAGAAGGUUGGUAUAUGAAGUUGCAAAUUAAGGGAGUAUUUUCUAAAUUCUAAAUAUUUCAGGGAAAUGUUGACGAGAGGGAUUAACAGUGCAGUAGAGAAUGGAAUUGACAAACAGAUAACAUGCUGGUCUGUAUGAAACUGACAGAUGAAAAUGUGAACAAAAACCAUGAGAUGGUGGGUAUAUGUAUUUGCAAAUUUAGCAAGUAGUUUCUAUAUAUUGAUUAUUUCAGAGAAAUGUGGACGAGGAGGGAUGAUGAUUCAUGUGAAUCUUUUGUUGAUACAGGAGAGAAUGGAAUGGACAAUCAUAUGACAUGCUGGUCAGAAUGAGGCAAGAUGAAAAGUGUAAACAAGAAUCAGAUGAGAUGGUACCAGUAGGUAUAUAUAGUGGUAAGUUUAGGGAGUAUUUUCUAAAUUCUAAGUAUUUCAGGGAUUCUAAAUUCUGAAUAUUUCAGGGAAAUGUGGACGAGGAUGGAUGAUGAUUUCCAUGAUUCCUUUGACAAUACAGGAGAGAAUGGAAUGAACACUUAGAUGACAUACUGGUCAGAAAAGUUUACAGAUGAAAACAGCCAACAAGAAGCAUAAGUUGGUGUGUUGAGGUGAAACCUGAUGAUUCUUAGAAAGACUGUCUUCGGCUAAUGCACAAAAAGCCUGGCAACAGCUUCAAGCUUGGCAGCGGCUUCUGAAAGCAUGGACACAUAUCAAACAACAGGAACAGCUGCCAUAUAACAACUGGAUGCAGCUGAAAGUAACAGACAGAUGAAGAUGUUGGAAAAGUUCAAGUAACAAGAUCAUAAUUAAGUAAGAACAUUUUGUUGUGUGAUCCGCCAUUGCAUUGAGUCAAGUGGAUAAAGUAAUUAAUCAACAUCUUAUCUAAUAUAGGAUAAAACAGGUACUGAAAAAAUACAAAUGCCUUCUUAAGGUAGUUCUGCACGUUUUGAUCGAAUUUUUUUUCUACAAUGUAGAAUUUGAUUAAA